GGCCAGGGUAGUCCUAGUGAGGAGUCACAGGACUGUUUGAAUUGAGCACGAUUCGGAUGAUCUAAUCAGGGUUGACAGUUUAACCCUGAGUCAUCCUAUACACAGGGGUCAAAAGAGAUGAAUUAUACAGUAACCAUAUUCACGUAGGUUCUGAGUGUUGCGAUUGUGACUAUUCGACCUAUCCAGAUAUCGGGUACCAUUGCUAGAUGGUCACUUCGAUUAGUACAGGAAUUGGUUCCUGUGCUACCGGUUUAGGUUCGAACCU
rnacentral:lncRNA from 1 species